GACGAACGCUGGCGGCGUGCUUAACACAUGCAAGUCGAACGAUGAAGCCGCUUUCGGGUGGUGGAUUAGUGGCGAACGGGUGAGUAACACGUGAGUAAUCUGCCCUUCACUUUGGGAUAACCUUCGGAAACGGGGGCUAAUACUGGAUGUUCAUCAUGGCCCGCAUGGGUGGUGGUGGAAAGCUUUUUGUGGUGGAGGAUGGGCUCGCGGCCGAUCAGCUUGUUGGUGGGGUAAUGGCUUACCAAGGCGACGACGGGUAGCCGGCCUGAGAGGGUGACCGGCCACACUGGGACUGAGACACGGCCCAGACUCCUACGGGAGGCUGCAGUGGGGAAUAUUGGACAAUGGGCGGAAGCCUGAUCCAGCAACGCCGCGUGAGGGAUGACGGCCUUCGGGUUGUAAACCUCUUUCAGCGUCGACGAAGCCUUGGCCUGUGGGGUUGGGGUGACGGUAGGCGCAGAAGAAGCACCGGCCAACUACGUGCCAGCCGCCGCCGUAA
rnacentral:rRNA from 1 species